rnacentral:rRNA from 1 species
CUACGGGCCGCUGCAGUAGGGAAUAUUGGACAAUGGGCGAAAGCCUGAUCCAGCAACACCGCGUGCACGAUGACGGCCUUCGGGUUGUAAAGUGCUUUUAGAGGAGAUGAGAAAGGACAGUACCCUCUGAAUAAGCCUCGGCGAACUACGUGCCAGCAGCCGCGGUAAAACGUAGGAGGCAAGCGUUAUCCGGAUUUAUUGGGCGUAAAGCGCGUGCAGGCGGUCUAGCAAGUUGGAUGUGAAAGCUCCCGGCUCAACUGGGAGAGGUCGUUCAAUACUGUUAGACUAGAGAAUAGGAGAGGGAGGUGGAAUUCCGGGUGUAGUGGUGAAAUGCGUAGAUAUCCGGAGGAACACCAGUGGCGAAAGCGGCCUCCUGGACUAUUUCUGACGCUAAGACGCGAAAGCUAGGGUAGCAAACGGGAUUAGAUACCCCUGUAGUC